rnacentral:rRNA from 1 species
UACGGGGGGGGGCAAGCGUUGUUCGGAAUUACUGGGCGUAAAGGGCUGGUAGGCGGCCAACUAAGUCGGAUGUGAAAUCCCCAGGCUUAACCUGGGAACUGCAUCCGAUACUGGUCGGCUUGAAUCCGGGAGAGGGAUGCAGAAUUCCAGGUGUAGCGGUGAAAUGCGUAGAUAUCUGGAGGAAUACCGGUGGCGAAGGCGGCAUCCUGGACCGGCAUUGACGCUGAUACAGCGAAAGCUAGGGGAGCAAACGGG